rnacentral:rRNA from 1 species
AUUGAACGCUGUCGGCAGGCCUAACACAUGCAAGUCGAACGAGUGGCGGACGGUUGAGUAAUGUCUGGGAAACUGCCUGCUGGAGGGGGAUAACUACUGGAAACGGUAGCUAAUACCGCAUACCAUCAGAUGUGCCCAGAUGGGAUUAGCUAGUAGGUGGGGUAACGGCUCACCUAGGCGACGAUCCCUAGCUGGUCUGAGAGGAUGACCAGCGACACUGGAACGGAGACACGGCCCAGACUCCUACGGGAGGCAGCAGUGGGGAAUAGUGCACAAUGGGCGCAAGACUGAUGCAGCAAUGCCGCGUGUAUGAAGAAGGCCUUCGGGUUGUAAAGUACUUUCAGCGGGGAGGCGUUACCCGCAGAAGAAGCACCGGCUAACUCCGUGCCAGCAGCCGCGGUAAUAC